UACGUAGGGUGCAAGCGUUGUCCGGAAUUAUUGGGCGUAAAGAGCUCGUAGGCGAUCUGUCGCGUCGGCUGUGAAAUCCCGAGGCUCAACCUCGGGUCUGCAGUCGAUACGGGCAAACUUGAGUGUUGCAGGGGAGACUGGAAUUCCUGGUGUAGCGGUGAAAUGCGCGGAUAUCAGGAGGAACACCGGUGGCGAAGGCGGCGUCCUGGACCAACACUGACACUGAGGAGCGAAAGCCAGGGGAGCAAACGGG
rnacentral:rRNA from 1 species